GGCAUUUGAAGACUCUGGCUACGCCAGCACAGGGUCCGGGGAUAACCUGGGUUGGUUUCCUCCUCGUAGCUUCGUUUGCUGGUAAUGAUUUGAAACCAGAGAAGUAAAUUUGACCGGAAGAAAAGAUGAAUCGCGGAUCGCAGUGGUUCAAUCGCUAGAUGAAUGUCGAGCGGAUUGGGGCUGCAGGCGACUGAGCUUCGCCUGGGGUUGUCGGCGGCGUAGUGGAAGGCGAGAGCGCGGAGAAGAGAAGAUACGAGGAAAUAAUCGACCUGAUACUUCAGAUCCAGACACCCACCGAUGUGAAGGAAACGUACGAAGCUGCCGAGGGUUGGGAACACUGCUCCAUGUGGCGGCGGCGUCGACACGGGAAAGCCGCCUGCUUCCAAGUGCAGGUUGUAAGCAGAUGAUCAGUGAGGUCAUUCAGGAAGAACAUCUUUUCUCUUCACUCUGACAAGGGGAACAGCAACAUGAAGGAGGAUGGUGAAAAGUUAAGCAACCCAAUGGCCUCCUUCAUGAAGGUGAGGAUGGACAGUCCGCCAUACUUGCACAAGGUCGAUCCAAAGAUGUACAAGAGUUACCAAGAGCUCUCCAUGGCGUUGCAGAAGAUGUUUGGCUCCUUCACCAACACUGGAAACUGUGGCUGGCUUUCAGGGAAUGAGUGGGAGGGACAACAUAAAUGAGAGCAAGUAAUGCAGGAUGUUUGUCAACUCACGCAAGCGCUUGUGGAUCAUGAAAGGAUCAGAAGCCACAUGGACUUGCACCAUGAGCCAUGGCAAAGUGCAAGAACAGAAGCUAAAGGUUCAUUCCAAGUAAAAUGUCAAACCCAAACUUCUCUCUCGAUUUGGAUAGAGCCAUCUAUAUGUUUAUUGUGCUUAGAUAAAUCUUAAUUACAUAUGUUGCAUAGAACAAUUUUGUUCAAUGCUACUUCAAUAGUGUUGUUUCCUUGUCUGUUUUUAAUUAUUGGUGUCGGUGUGGUAAUUAUGUAUAUUGAAAAUUAGGUAAUUAUGUUGGUGAUCACUAAUAAAGAAAUUAAUCUUCUGAAAACAAGGUAAUAAAAUAUACAUAUAUUUAAACUAAGGAUUAAAAAUAGUAUGACUGAAGAAGCAUUUGAUUGAAUUGCCCUAGGAGUCAAAUUAUAUAGAAGUCCUAUAAAGAUGAGUACUGCAUACAGCUCAGGGGCCAACCAUAAUGAUGUUUGUAAGACAUUUUGUUCCUGAUGCAGGAAGAUAUCAUGGACCACCAAACUAUUGUUAUGACUAUUUGAUUUGAUUUGAUCAUCAUUUUUGUAGAAAGUUUGAUACCAGUAUUGAUUAGAUAUUUUUGAUUGAAGUAGCUAAAAAUUUGACAAAUUAUGAAAUGGUAACGGGUGAAAUUGAGAUAAGUUCAGAUGGGAUUUUGGUUAAAACUUCACUAGGCCUCCAGUAACCGAAGUUACUAACAAAUCAAGAACCUAACUAAAAAACUUGAAAAAUAGCCGAGCCAAUGUUUUAGCUUGGUUAAUCUUGGUCAUUUGUCAACUCCUAUUGGUAAAUGGUAAUGUAGGCUGACAGAAUCAUUAAUAUAUAUGAUGUUGAACAGCAAUUUAGAUUUGAAGAGGAAUUGCAAUAUGAAACAUCAAUGUGUGCAGUAGUAAAGUAUUGGAAUUUGAUUUGGACAUUUUUGAACAAGGUAGGUCCUAAUUCAUAAAGAAUGAGUUGGACCUUGGAUUAGUCAACAUGUCUAGCAGUAGAAUGUCUUAGAAACCAACAGAAACUCCAUGACACAUUGAUAGAACUAAUUCAAACUGAAGAUUCCAUGGCUUAAGGUAGCAUCAGAGUCCACAAACCACAGUGACAAGGUGGGGGAAAAAACCAAGAAGAUUCAAAUCAAUUGUACGUGUUAAAAUGACAUGAACAUUUUUUUUUCUUAUUGUGCAGCAUCACCACUCUUUUCAGCAAAUGCUCUGCAGUUUCCUUGGGUUAAAUCUGGUCUUACUUUUGCC